GAAGGGGGCUAGCGUUGUUCGGAAUUACUGGGCGUAAAGGGCGCGUAGGCGGCCGAUCAAGUCAGAUGUGAAAGUCCUGGGCUCAACCUGGGGAUUGCAUUUGAUACUGAUAGGCUUGAAUUCGGGAGAGGAUAGCGGAAUUCCCAGUGUAGAGGUGAAAUUCGUAGAUAUUGGGAAGAACACCGGUGGCGAAGGCGGCUAUCUGGACCGACAUUGACGCUGAGGCGCGAAAGCGUGGGGAGCAAACAGGAUUAGAUACCCUGGUAGUCCACGCCGUAAACGAUGAGUGCUAGACGUUGGAGGGCAUAGCUCUUCAGUGUCGCAGCUAACGCAUUAAGCACUCCGCUUGGGGAGUACGGCCGCAAGGUUA
rnacentral:rRNA from 1 species